CGCUGCGCAGACAGUGCACGACAUGUAUGUGGCCAGAGUGUCUGGAGUCUGUCUGAAACUGAUAAAAAUGGUGAUGGAGUUUUCAAGAGUCUUGCUCAUAUUUUAUUAGAAAGGCAAAAGGAGACAGAGCGGAAUUUUGCAUUGAUCCAACACUAUAGUCAUUUCGUAGCUUGAAAACUAGAUUUUAUUGUAGCGCAUUUCAAAGUUUAUUCCAUGUUUUCACCAGACAGUUCGAUUAUUAACAGGCAGGGGGAAAAUAUCAUUUUGGUGACCCCUUGACUGUCACAGAUUCAGCUACACUGAAAGAUGGUGUCCGUAAUCUGGAUCUUUGCUGCCAUGUGGACGGUAGGUUUAAAAGGGCAUUUCCCUUUUAACAGCAAGCAAAUUUGGGCAUGUCACGGAGAAACAGGCGAAACAGCAAGAAUGCAAAGAGCGUAACGUCUGACUCUUCUGAAAGCCAUACCCAACUGCUGGAGCGAGGCAUUGAAUGUGUUAGGACAGCUGCCUCCAUUUUAGGGAGGAGUUUUGUGGAGGAAGAUGGAGAUCCCUUCUACAGUACCAGAAUUUGCAGCGUGAAUCGAUUCUGAUUUGAGGCAUUGUUUGCAAUUUUUUACCUCGGUUUUGUUAUCCAGUGUUUACUUGCAAAUUGAAUAUAAUAAUUUAGUAAAAUUUUUAUUAAAUUGCGCGUGUGGUGUUAAAUGAGAUUGUUGGAACACGACGAAUCGUACUCUGGGUUCAUUGCUUACCAGUCUCGGAUUGCAACAAAUUUUGUUUUCUGUUCGAAGCAUAGCCACUAUUAUUGUAACAUUGUAAAGAUUUUGUUUUGGUUAGGCAUACAGUGACAGAUUUUGAUCGGCUUUUUAUUGCAUUUUCUGUACUGAAAUUGUUAGUGAUACAAAAUACAAAACAAAACACCUUAAUGUUCAAAUAAAAAAUGCCCUAAGGGCCCCAGGAUUUUAGUGGUAAACAUGAUUUGUAAUAUGCUAUGAAAUUUUAUUUGUCUUAUUUAUUGUGUAUUACCUAGAUAAUUAGCUGUUAUAUUUAGAUUUCUACCCUCAAGUCGCACAUUUGGCAGAUAGUAUUACCAAAUUUAAAGUUGGAACACAUUUUUUUGGAGAUGUUUGGUGUGAAACGUGACUCUUAGUUUGUGUCUUUUACAAUACAGAAUUUUAGCAUUUGUUUGAGAUUUGUUUUAUUUCUGUUUAUUACAACGUUAUGUUUUGUGAUUUCAUCUGCCAUUUGAAUAAUGCUUAUCUUAUUAAUUGUUCAUUUGAUUUUUUUUGUGAAUGGCAUGUUUAAAAUUCAGUUGACAUUUUUGAAGUCAAAGAUGAUCUAAGAAAGCAGGCAAAUGUGCUUUGAAAUUAGCUUGUGAGAAGUUUGAGUAUAUCAUAUUUUUUUAUUAAAAUCUUGGUAGUUUAAUAAUUUAAAAAGCAUUGUUUAUUGGUUUGUGUAAUACAACUAUAGGAAACUAUUAUUUUAUUGAUUUUGUAUUAUUGUAAUAAUUGUUUCAAAUUAGUGCUUGUACUGAAUUGUAAUUUUAAUUACUAUUGCAUAGCAAUUUCAUUAAUGUAAUUUUUUGUAAAAAUAGAAUGAUCGUAAUUGUAAUAAAAUUAUAAAUUGCUGUGAUAACAAUGUUUGUUUUUAUUGACACAAAUAUAUUGGGUUUCAUUCAUUCGUCGAAACAUUGCUUGAUAUGAGUGAGACUGAUUGUAGUUUAGAAGGGGUAUAAGCUUCCUAAGCCACAUGUGUGUGCAAGUUAAUGUCUGCGUGUAUUGGAGGGUGGAUUUGUGGCUUCGUAUCUUGGGCCUUGUGCUUCAAUGUCUGAGAUACACAAUGUUCUGGAAGAUUCAACCUCUUGAGACCCACUGGCCCUGAAAUCUUAUAACUCUAACUGGAAACUGGAAAAAUUUGGGGUGUGACACUGUUAUAAGAGGUUCAGAAGAAACUGGGUUGUGAAUCAUAACCUUUUAUAAAACAAAUUGUAGAUUUUACUUACGAUUCUGAAAUAGUGCUGAUAGAAUAUACAAUGAACUUUUACUUGUUUAAACAAUUUUAAAGUGGACAGACACUUAGAUUGUAUACAAUAUUUAACAUUGUACAUUCAAGGUUUUUGGAAAAAUAUGUGAGGGCAGAAAAUGAAGAACGGUAAAAAACCAAAAAGGUUGAAACUGUUUCAGCAAUUUAGAAGUGCAAACAGUUGGUCUAAUAAAGGUUUGUAAACAUUAGUGUUGUUAAUGUUUAUGCUGUUGGUUUGCUGUUUCAGUGCAAGUGUCACAUGUCCUUUUGCUAAGUGAUAUGAUUGAUGUAUUCGUUCUUCAUUUUUAGUGAGAGAUUUCUCUUUUACUUUACUUCGGCAACAUGUUUUUUCCUAAAUCGUUAACACCAUGUUGUGUGUGUUUUUUUUAGGAUCGCUGAGGGUUAUGUUAAUAUGGGAAUUGUCAGAGAUACAUGUUUAGUACAUUAACAUGUAUCUAUCUAAUUAAGUUACUUUUGAGCACACUAAAACUGUUAUAUAAAAAUUUAGUGUAUGAAUGAUUCUUUCAAAAUUUUGUUGGCAGAUAGUUUUGGAUUGACAGAAGAACUUUAUCUUGUCAAUCCCCUAGUAAAAAAGUGUAGUUAAAAACAAAUUAUGUUUUUUUUUUUUUUAGAGAGAAAGUAUAGCUUGAUCACAAAUAUUUUAUGAUUUGCAUAAACUGAUUAAGAAUUGUUUUGGUGCUAACUAAGAAUAAUUUGUUGACCUUAUACCUAAAUAGCUAAGUUUUGGCCUCAAUGUCCUCACAACUUUCUAAAUGAAGUAAGUUGAACAUAAAUUUUAUUUUGAAUGUUUUCAUCGAUUUUUAAGUUCACAAAUUGUUGCAGCAGUUACUAUUAUUAAAAAUUAUUACUAUUUACUAGAUUUAUUUUUUUAUGCUGCUGUCGUUAUCAUUAAAUUGCAUUAUAUAUGGUUCAUUUUAUAUUUUUACUCCAUAAUGUUGGCUGAUUGUAAUGGUGUUUAAGGUGUUUAGGUUUGUGAACAUCUACUACUGAAUUUAUUUGAAUUCCCUCUUAAGAUAAUAUCGUUGUGCCAUGUUUUCACAGACAAAGAUUAUAUAAUGUGGCAAUCAUACACAAUUUUUUUUUACAGUGCAUUAGAAACAGCAGCAAGACUAAACUUGUAAUGUUCAUAUAAGUUCAAAUGUUAGUAAUUUGUGAAGGUGGACAGACACUUUCUUUUAGUUUAGUCCCUGAAUUCUUGCAUAUUACCAUAAGUGAUUCAUUAUGUUGUACUCACUCAAAAAACAAUAUAUUGACAACUUGUUAUGCCCAAAUGCACCCCUGAAUGUGUUCAAUUUUGAAUGUUUUGACUCUUAAAUAGGUUUCCAAAGUUGCUGAUAUUGUAUUCGCAAGACCAUUAUAUUAUGCAAAGUCUAUUUUAAAAUCGUCUUGAUUCUUGGAAUGUUUUAACCAAUGACCCAAACUUAAAUAUUUAGUGACAUUUUUCAGCCAAUAUUCAGAUUGGUGUUCCUUUUUGCAUUUCAUUUCAUGGCAGACAUUUUCCCAGUUAUGCAUGAUUGUUGUUUGUUUCACUUUUUAUUUUUAAUGUUAUAGGCAUGUUUCCUAAGCCGUUGAAUGUUUUAUUAAGUUUUGAUGGAAAGGGAGACAGAAGGUUUGUUUAUCCCAUCAUCCCUAAAGGCACAGUAUUUUAAUGAAAUCUCAUCUCUCACUGUCUCCCUUUCUUUAUCUGUCACCGUUGUCUUUCUCAGACCUGUUUCUUUUUCAUAGCUACUGAUCACUUAAUGACUGUUUAAAUAGUUAGUCUGAACGA